rnacentral:rRNA from 1 species
GACGAACUGCGCAAACGUUAUUCGGAAUCACUGGGCGUAAAGCGCACGUAGGCGGACUCUUAAGUCGGGGGUGAAAUCCUGGAGCUCAACUCCAGAACUGCCUUCGAUACUGGGAGUCUUCGAGUUCGGGAGAGGUGAGUGGAACUGCGAGUGUAGAGGUGAAAUUCGUAGAUAUUCGCAAGAACACCAGUGGCGAAGGCGGCUCACUGGCCCGAUACUAACGCUGAGGCACGAAAGCGUGGGGAGCAAACAGG